AUGGGUAGCACAAGGAUUAAUG
rnacentral:miRNA from 1 species